GAACACGGAGGCCACGCGAGAUUUGAAUGGGGAAAUUCCAGCGUGAUCCAGGACAAAAGCUAGAGCACGAGUUGUAGACCAGGACCCGAAGGUUGUAGACCAGGACCCGAACGGUAGCGCACCAGUUGGAGACCUCCUGUAUCCAAGAGACCAGGACCACGAACCCCGUUUCCUAAAGCAGGUUUAACAGACAUGGACCCGGAUCAGAUCAUCAGAGUCACUUCUCUCAAGACCGAAGAGUUGAGCGCGUGCGCAGUGAGCGAAAGAAGUCUACAUGGCGACAGGAACCAGGACCACGACAAGAGCGGAAUGAAGGAGGACCAGAGGAGCAACAACAGAGGACCAGCAGCAGGACCGUCCUCUCACAGCAGCGGCGUUCAGAAGAUGGUGGUCAGUCCGUUGGGAGCUGAAACAUGCCGGAGGCUGCUCGUCCUCGACUUCUUCAGCCCAGACAGCAGCUCCGGGCUGAACACAAACCAACGUCCUCCUGAUGAGGUCAUCACAUUGGGGCAUCCAGCUCACCUUGUCUGUUGACAGGAGAAGAGGAGGAAGAGGAGGAAGAGGAGCCGCAGGGAAAAGGACUGAUGGGGGAGUGGAGAGGAGAGGAAGAGUUCGUACUCACUGGUGUGAAGCUGCAGCUCCUCGGCCGUCACAGCGUGAAGGACCAGCUGACCGACACUUCCUGUGUGUGUGAGAAUUUGAAGAGAAAACUUCAUGCAAAACAAACACAACUCAAAAGUCCACAUUAAUUAUUGACAUAUAAUGACACUGUUGCCAUGGUUACCAGGAAGGAAAGAGAGCUGGACUUUUACCUCACCCAACCCCUUAAUUCACUUCCUCUUUUAUUGUGAUCAAUAUUUUUACAUCAACAAUGGAUCAAAUCUGACGACAAUCUGAUAUAUAUAUAUAUAUAUACAUACAUACAUACAUGUUUAUUAUAUUAAAUCACUGCUUCAUAGAGACCAUACAUCUGACUAACUAAAUGUUGUUAUAUUAAAUUAAUAUUUAUUAAAUUACUGUUCAAAGAGACCAUAGAUCUGACAAUAACUACAUGUUCAUUAUAUUAAAUUAAUAUAUUUAGUAAAUAUUAAUAUUAGUGGAUAAAAGAGUUAAAAAAAUUAAAACACGGAAAAGUCUCACAUUUCUUUUUCUUUAAUAAAACAAUAAACUAAAACGCUUGUCGUUAUUUACAGAACAAUAUUGUGGCUCCUUUUAUUGGCAGAUGUGCAUGAAAAGGGGGUGGACAAAAUAAACAGAACACAGCACGGAAAAGCUUUACAGCUGGAACUCUUUCACUGGUCGUUUACACAUUUUAAUAACAAAUAAUAAGAGGUUCAUGACGGUGUUCAGGUUAAACAAAUCAGAUCGAACGUGUUAAUAAACGCUAGCAGUUUCCCUCCGUUUCCAGUCUCUGUGCUAAGCUAUGCUAAUCAGCUGGAGCUUGACCAGAUGUCCUCUAGUUAGAGCGUCCACUUCAAACACCUGCAGACACACAGGACAAGAUUCACUCAGUACGAGUACCUGACGUCAGCACAGUCACGGAUUACACUGCCAGAGCUUUAAUCUGUUUACUGUGACACGGUUUAUGUUUUCAACACUUUGUACGAUGAGACGAGGACUUCAAGUCCACAGAGCAGCUUUAACAUAUCACUUUGUUUAAAAAACAGCUGUAAAUAGCAUCUAUAUGUAUAAUGACAUGUAUUGGUGAAUAAAAUGUGGAGGUUUCAGAUCGA